CGGCAUAGCUCAGUUGGCCAGAGCACGUGAUUUGUAAUCUCGGGGUCGUGGGUUCGAAUCCCUCUGCCG
rnacentral:tRNA from 1 species